rnacentral:rRNA from 1 species
AGUGAACGCUGGCGGUAGGCCUAACACAUGCAAGUCGAACGGCAGCACAGUAAGAGCUUGCUCUUACGGGUGGCGAGUGGCGGACGGGUGAGGAAUACAUCGGAAUCUACUUUUUCGUGGGGGAUAACGUAGGGAAACUUACGCUAAUACCGCAUACGACCUACGGGUGAAAGCAGGGGAUCUUCGGACCUUGCGCGAUUGAAUGAGCCGAUGUCGGAUUAGCUAGUUGGCGGGGUAAAGGCCCACCAAGGCGACGAUCCGUAGAUGGUCUGAGAGGAUGAUCAGCCACACUGGAACUGAGACACGGUCCAGACUCCUACGGGAGGCAGCAGUGGGGAAUAUUGGACAAUGGGCGCAAGCCUGGUCCAGCCAUACCGAGUGGGUGAAGAAGGCCUUCGGGUUGUAAAGCCCUUUUGUUGGGAAAGAAAAGCAGCAGGUUAAUACCCCGCUGUUCUGACGGUACCCAAAGAAUAAGCACCGGCUAACUUCGUG